CACGCCGUAAACGAUGGGCACUAGGUGUGGGAGGUGUCGACUCCUUCCGUGCCGUAGCUAACGCAUUAAGUGCCCCGCCUGGGGAGUACGGCCGCAAGGCUAAAACUCAAAGGAAUUGACGGGGGCCCGCACAAGCAGCGGAGCAUGUGGUUUAAUUCGACGCAACGCGAAGAACCUUACCUAGGCUUGACAUGACCCUGAAAAAUCUGGAAACAGAUUCCCUUUUCGAAGCAGGGCCACAGGUGG
rnacentral:rRNA from 1 species